CGUGCGCACACGCCUAAUCCCGCAAGGGGGCCGGGGAACCACCAACUUGGGGUGAAUCGGGCAUCUGUGCAUCCGUGCCAGGUGUUCGUAGGAGACCUUCCUGCUCCGAACCCGUCAGCUAACCCGGUAGGCGAGAAGGAAGGAAAGG
rnacentral:sRNA from 2 species